rnacentral:rRNA from 1 species
AUGAUCGACGGGGACGAGAGCUUCGACGGCGCCAAGGCGUACAAGGACAGCAAGGUGUGCAACAUGCUGACCAUGCAGGAGUUCCACCGGCGGUACCACGAGGAGACCGGCAUCACCUUCUCCUCGCUCUACCCCGGCUGCAUCGCCACCACGGGGCUGUUCCGGGAGCACAUCCCGCUGUUCCGCACGCUCUUCCCGCCGUUCCAGAAGUUCAUCACGAAGGGGUUCGUCUCGGAGGCGGAGUCCGGCAAGAGGCUGGCGCAGGUGGUGGCGGAGCCCAGCCUGACCAAGUCCGGCGUGUACUGGAGCUGGAACAAGGACUCGGCGUCCUUCGAGAACCAGCUCUCGCAGGAGGCCAGCGACCCCGAGAAGGCCCGCAAGGUCUGGGAGCUCAGCGAGAAGCUCGUCGGACUCGCCUGA